CACGGGGGGAGCAAGCGUUGUUCGGAAUCACUGGGCGUAAAGGGCGUGUAGGCGGUCAAGUAAGUGGCAUGUGAAAUCCCCCGGCUUACCCGGGGACCGGCAUCCCAUACUGCUUGGCUUGAGUACGGGAGAGGAUGUGGGAAUUCCUGGUGUAGCGGUGAAAUGCGUAGAUAUCAGGAGGAACACCGGUGGCGAAGGCGCACAUCUGGCCCGAUACUGACGCUGAAGCGCGAAAGCUAGGGGAGCAAACGGG
rnacentral:rRNA from 1 species